rnacentral:rRNA from 1 species
GAUGAACGCUGGCGGCGUGCCUAACACAUGCAAGUCGAGCGAGAAAUGAAGAGAAGAAACUUCGGUAGAUUUUCAUCAUGGAAAGCGGCGGACGGGUGAGUAACGCGUAGGCAACCUGCCCCGUACAGGGGGAUAGCCAUCGGAAACGAUGAUUAAGACCCCAUAAAGCGGAAUAUACACAUGUAAAAACCGUCAAAGAUUUAUCGGUAUGGGAUGGGCCUGCGUCUGAUUAGAUAGUUGGUAGGGUAACGGCCUACCAAGUCAACGAUCAGUAGCCGACCUGAGAGGGUGAACGGCCACAUUGGAACUGAGACACGGUCCAAACUCCUACGGGAGGCAGCAGUGGGGAAUAUUGCACAAUGGAGGGAACUCUGAUGCAGCAACGCCGCGUGAAGGAAGAAGGUCUUCGGAUCGUAAACUUCUGUCCAAAAGGAAGAAGGAAGUGACG